AAAUAAGAGGUCCCGCCUGCCCUGUGACUAUAUGUUUAACGGCCGCGGUAUUUUGACCGUGCGAAGGUAGCGCAAUCACUUGUCUUUUAAAUGGAGACCCGUAUGAAUGGCACAACGAGGGCUUGACUGUCUCCUCUUUCAAGUCAAUGAAAUUGAUCUCCCCGUGCAGAAGCGGGGAUACCAUCAUAAGACGAGAAGACCCUAUGGAGCUUUAGACACUAAAGCAGACCCUGUUAAAUACCCCCAACUAAGGGAUCAAACACAAGGGGACCUGCCCUAAUGUCUUUGGUUGGGGCGACCGCGGGGAAACACAAAACCCCCAUGUGGAACGGGACUACCAUUCCUAAAACAGAGAGCUACUGCUCUAAGAAACAAAAAUUUUGACCUCCAGAUCCGGCAAAGCCGAUCAACGGACCGAGUUACCCUAGGGAUAACAGCGCAAUCCUCUUUUAGAGCCCAUAUCGACAAGGGGGUUUACGACCUCGAUGUUGGAUCAGGACAUCCUAAUGGUGCAGCCGCUAUUAAGGGUUCGUUUGUUCAACGAUUAAAGUCCU
rnacentral:rRNA from 1 species